GAAAUUUUCUGUGGUGAUUUAUAUAAAAUUUGAAUACGAUGCCGCGAAAGUAUAAAACUAAAGAAGGUUCAAGAAAAAGAAAGCCAAUCGAUAAAGAAAAACUAAAACUUGCGGUAGCUGCAGUUCUGGCCGGAAAUACACUAAAAGGCACUGCAAAACAAUAUUCGGUACCUCUCAUGACUUUGAAAAGAUAUGCUAGAAAGCAAAAAGAAAAUGACGAGGAAAUAUCAUACGAACCCAACUACAAAAAAUCGCAGAUAUUUUCAGACCAAGAAGAAAAUGAUUUGGAAGAAUAUUUGGAAACCGCUAGUAAGUUGUAUCAUGGCCUCUACCCUAAGAAAGUACGUACGCUAGC